AUUGAACGCUGGCGGCAUGCCUUACACAUGCAAGUCGAACGGCAGCAUGGGUGCUUGCACCUGAUGGCGAGUGGCGAACGGGUGAGUAAUACAUCGGAACGUACCCGGAAGUGGGGGAUAACGUAGCGAAAGUUACGCUAAUACCGCAUAUUCUGUGAGCAGGAAAGAGGGGGAUCGCAAGACCUCUCGCUUUCGGAGCGGCCGAUGUCAGAUUAGCUAGUUGGUAGGGUAAAAGCCUACCAAGGCGACGAUCUGUAGCGGGUCUGAGAGGAUGAUCCGCCACACUGGGACUGAGACACGGCCCAGACUCCUACGGGAGGCAGCAGUGGGGAAUUUUGGACAAUGGGGGCAACCCUGAUCCAGCCAUGCCGCGUGAGUGAAGAAGGCCUUCGGGUUGUAAAGCUCUUUCGGCCGGGAAGAAAUCGCACAGGUUAAUACCUUGUGUGGAUGACGGUACCGGAAUAAGAAGCACCGGCUAACUACGUG
rnacentral:rRNA from 1 species